CAGAGGCAGCAGCCGCGGCACUCGAGCAAGCCAGCCACGCUAGUAGUACUAUUACUCUGCUCCAGUCAUCCAUCGUCUCCCUUCCCGGCGAGCGAGCGAGCGAGCGGACGGUCGCCGCCGCGAUGCAGCGCCGGCUGCCGGCACUCCUCCGCCGCGCGGCGGGCGCGGGGCCCGCGCGCCGGUGGCUCUCCGCCGCCUCCUCCCUCCUCUUCGACGACACCCAGGAGCAGUUCAAGGAGAGCGUGCACCGGUUCGCGCAGGAGCACAUCGCGCCGCACGCCGCCGCCAUCGACGCCUCCAACCACUUCCCCAAGGAGGUGAAUCUGUGGAAGCUCAUGGGGGACUUCAACCUGCACGGCCUCACCUCCCCAGAGGAGUACGGAGGGCUCGGGCUCGGUUACAUGUACCACUGCAUCGCCAUGGAGGAGAUCAGCAGGGCGUCCGGGUCGGUCGGCCUUUCCUACGGCGCACACUCAAAUCUGUGCAUCAACCAGUUGGUCCGUCAUGGCAGCCCUGCCCAAAAGGAAAAAUAUUUGCCAAAGCUAAUCAGCGGGGAGCAUAUUGGGGCAUUGGCAAUGAGUGAACCAAACUCUGGCUCUGAUGUUGUCAGUAUGAAGUGCAAAGCUGAGAAAGUAGAUGGCGGCUAUGUCAUUAACGGGAAUAAGAUGUGGUGCACAAAUGGUCCGUCUGCUCAGACACUGGUUGUUUACGCGAAAACAGAUAUAACUGCUGGAUCGAAAGGAAUAACUGCUUUCAUAAUUGAGAAGGGAAUGCCAGGGUUCAGUACUGCCCAGAAGUUGGACAAACUUGGCAUGCGAGGAAGUGAUACAUGUGAGCUUGUCUUUGAGAAUUGCUUUGUGCCUCAAGAGAAUGUUCUUGGUGAAGAAGGGAAAGGUGUUUAUGUCAUGAUGUCUGGUCUUGAUCUGGAAAGACUUGUAUUAGCUGGGGGCCCUAUUGGGCUCAUGCAGGCAUGCCUUGAUGUUAUUCUUCCUUAUGUUCGACAAAGGGAGCAAUUCGGCCGUCCGAUUGGUGAAUUUCAGUUCUUACAGGGGAAAAUGGCAGAUAUGUACACCUCCUUGCAAUCAUCAAGAUCAUUUGUAUACUCAGUUGCUAGGGACUGUGAUAAUGGCAAAGUUGACCGUAAGGAUUGUGCAGGAGUGAUCCUCUUUGCUGCUGAAAGGGCAACACAAGUUGCACUUGAGGCAAUCCAGUGUCUUGGUGGCAAUGGAUACAUAAAUGAGUACCCAACUGGCCGUCUCCUGAGGGAUGCAAAACUGUUCGAGAUUGGGGCGGGUACUAGUGAGAUCAGAAGAAUGAUAAUUGGCCGUGAGCUGUUUAAAGAGGACUGAGAUUAUUCUUCUGGAAGCCAGCUUGUCAGUGCAUGUUCUAACUUGAGGAGGUGAUCUGCAAGUGAACCUAAGGCCAUGUACUCGUACACCAGUAGCCGCUGAUCUCCGUCUGCGCAAUAGCCUACCAAGCUGACCAGGUUUGGAUGGUGCAAGAGGCUGAGCAUCAAGACUUCAACCAGGAACUCACGGUUGCCUUGAAAUCCAUUCAGGUCUAGUUGUUUGACAGCUACAAUCUGAUCAUGCAUCAAAAAGAUAAUUGAAACAAUGAGCAGAUUGUUACAAGUCAGUAGGGCUAUCUGAAGAAUGUUUGUCAUUGGGUUGUUCCUAUAUAUACCUGGCCAUUUUCAAGCUGUCCCUUGUAGACCCUGCCAAAGCCCCCCUCUCCCAGAAGGUAGUCGGAGCGGAAGUUCUUGGUGGCUGUCGCUAACUCACGGUAUGUGAAUGCUUUUGCAUUUUUGGCCAUGCUAGACCUUUCGGCAGGUUCACCGUUUGCUCUUGUUUCGGAUGAUUGCCCAUGUUUUGGAGCCUCUGCAAGGUGAGUUUUCAGUAUUUGUUAGAGAGAACUCCAUUUUGUGCUUAUUUGAAGGAUCUUAGUUUUGCUCUCGACAAAAUUCAAACAGUCUGCUGCAAUAGUCUGGGGUCCAUAUUUAAAUACCAUUGUGGCCCAUCAUGCAUUAUUACCAGAAUUCAACAUGCAUUACAGGGACAAGCAUGGCAACAAGAUGGAUUUGACAAAUGGUACAAAACGAAUCCUCCGUGGUCCUUACCAGAUUCCAUGAGGGGUGCUCCAGAUCGCGUCGAGACGGUGGCAUUUGCGACGGCGGAGGUGGCGACCUCCCCUGACCCCGUCUUCCUCGGCGACGUCUUCUUCUCAGGCCUGAAGCAUGAAAAGCAUUUCACGGUCCGAAUUCCCCAACGCAUGUGCCUCUCAACCAAACCUCCUCCUUGUGCCCACCACGAGAUCUCCAACCCCUCUGCUCUUUACAAUCCAGAAGACUCUUUGCACAUGCAAUGGCAGCAUGGACGAGGAGUUCUCCUCCCUUGCUGCAAGAUCCUGGUCACAGAUUGCCAUCGCACUCAUCUUGCAAGAAGAAUGCGAUCCCUGUGGAGGGGAUGUGAUCAGGUAGGAGGAGCAUUGUCACCGUGCCUUUUGUGGAGGUCAAUGUGCUCAGCCAAGAAUAGGAUCUCUCUCGGUUUUAGGCCACAGUUGAGCUCUAAAAUUAGAACGCCUGCCCCUCUGAAGAUCAGCAUCCUCUGGAAUGCACUGGAUGUAAACGCCUUCCAUCAUUCCCUGAAUUUUCUCAUUUGUUGGCCCCAUGGUUGGUAUUCCACAAGGGGAAAUGGCCUGCUCACUGUUUGUGUCCCUGUUGUUGGAAUAGUGGAAAGAAAAAGGGCACCCUAUGUCAUAUGCCACUUCAAUUAUGUCGCUUCUAGCAGAUGCUUCA